AAAGUCGUAACAAGGUUUCCGUAGGUGAACCUGCGGAAGGAUCAUCAAUAAUCCAACCGAUUAAUGGUUUAUAACCAUUAAUCAAACCUUCUUGUGAACUGUUUAAUGUUUAUCGGUUGGGAGUAACUGUGAUAAUGGCACUAUGUCGUUGGAUCACCUCCCACCGAUUACCUAUAUACAAACUAUUUUGUUUUUGAAGUUGAUUAUUAUACAGGCAACUGUACUAAUAUAAAUACAACUUAUAGCGAUGGAUCUCUAGGCUCUG
rnacentral:misc_RNA from 1 species